AUGAAAAAAAUUAAACUCGUUUUCUUACCAGCACGUUGCAGCACCAACUCGCUCACAGGAAUGUUGCCUUUUACAGGUUUCUCUUUUAAUUAUCCUAGAAGCAGGGAGAAAAAAAAAAAAAAAAAAAAAAAAAAAAAAAAAAGGCAAAGAAGAAGCAGGGUGGUUAAAUUAGCGUGCUGGAAUCUUUUCAGUUUGUCGCAGAGUAGAAAAAUAAAAAAAGGAAAAAAAAGGCUCAGUAAUUUAAAUUUGCUCUCAGUUCAGGCUGCAAUGCUGGGUCCCGCCCCUUCUUCCGGCUGGGUUCCACUACCUGUAAGGCUGGAACUGACAGCCACUGUGCAAACAAAAAAAGGCAACAAGCAUGCUGGGACCAUUCUGUCUGCUGUUUGGGUCUCACUUGCCCUGACAACUAAAAAUCAUCAGUGGAAAGGCAUAGAAUGGUGGAUGAUUUCAUCUGGAUAUUUAGAUCACAAAGAGAUCAAGACAGACACUGAUAUUUGACCCAGGAUAGAAGAAAGGCCAUGAGGAGGUCUUAGACCUCAGCAAACCAUUUCCAUCUUACUGCCAUAUUCUUACAUGAACAGGAAAGCACACCGCAGAUGAACCAUGCUUUUCGAUGGAAUUCAACUCCGAAAUACACGGUAGCUCAUGUGCGAACGGCCCACACGGAGAAUCAAUGUUCCUGUACCUUUGGUGCUGGGUCUAUGUGAUACCUGAAGUUUCAUGGCAUUUUAUUAAUUUCUAUUUGAAAACUAAAAGUGCACCCUGCUCUGCUAAAAGGCACAGAAAACAUACAGAAUGUAAACUGAGAACAUGGCAUGCCACAGAAAAUAUAAACAGAAAACCCUGACUUAGACAGACAUGUAAAAACUAGAGCAUUUUACAGACAUGACCACUACCUGGCCAAACUGGAUUCAAGAAUUUGGAAGCGCAUAUUGGAAAUAAGCGAGGUUUCCUUACAAGUCAGUUGAUGAGCGAUCUGACUUCGAGAAUGUUUAAGCAAAUAUGAAAGCUCAAGGAAUGGCAAUAUUGAGGUAAGAAAAGCACAGCACAGGGGUGAUGAGAUGGGAUCAGUAGAACACAUUCAGCGUUCAGAGAAGGGGGUGAUUUCUCACUUGGAUAACAAAGUGGAGAGCAGUACACUCUCUGUGGGAGAUGGGAAGGGGGUUGCCGAUUGGGAGUAGUGAGUGAUGAGGUCAGUUUGUAACAAAUCCAUUGGACAACUCUGUUGGACAAAGUGGAGGAGAUGGGAGUAUCUGGGUCCAGCAUUCAGAGAAGUUAUCCGUGGAGAAGCAAUGAUGAUCAGUCAUGGGUGUACAACAGAAACCACAGAAUAAUGAGCUCUUCAAGAGAGCAUCAAGAAACAGAAAGAGCAGAAUGCCAGGAACAGCAAAAGGAAGCUCAAGUGAGAGAUUAAGUGACUUAAGAGGUAAGAAGACAUGUGGAACAAAGUGAGAUCAAAGAAUUCAAGCAAAAAUGAUCUGGGCUAGACCAGGGCAUCAAAUGCUGCACAGUUUUCAAAUAUGUAUGAUCUGGCCUGGAAUAGAAUGGAAAAUAUCAUUAGGAAUUAACUAGUAGGAAGCUAUUACUGAAGUGAUUUUUAUUGGAAUGGUAGGGGCAGUUGCCAGAUAGCACUGGUGAAAAUGUGAAUUGUGAAAGGCAAAAUGUCAUGGCAUUAAUCACCACACAAUUAAAUGUAAUAAGGACUUAUUAACGAUAUUAUUGUGGUCCUAUCCAGCCAUGUAGUUUAAUUUAGGUUUUACAUAGGUAGUAAGAGAUUCAGAACAGAUUUCUAGGUUCCUAUCUUAAAAGCGUUGACAAUCUGUUUGGAAAGUGUACAAUUGCAUUGUAGAUUUCAUAUGACAAACCAUUC
rnacentral:lncRNA from 1 species